GCCGGUGUAGUAUAGUGGUUUGAACACUGAACUAUGACUCUGGAGAUCAGAGUUUGAAUCUUUGCUCCGUUG